rnacentral:rRNA from 1 species
AGAGUUUGAUCCUGGCUCAGGAUGAAUGCUGGCGGCGUGCUUAACACAUGCAAGUCGAGCGAAGCACUUAUCAUUGAAUCUUCGGAGGAUUUGAUAUUUGACUGAGCGGCGGACGGGUGAGUAACGCGUGGGUAACCUGCCUCAUACAGGGGAAUAACAGUUAGAAAUGGCUGCUAAUGCCGCAUAAGCGCACAGGACCGCAUGGUCUGGUGUGAAAAACUGAGGUGGUAUGAGAUGGACCCGCGUCUGAUUAGGUAGUUGGUGGGGUAACGGCCUACCAAGCCGACGAUCAGUAGCCGGCCUGAGAGGGUGAACGGCCACAUUGGGACUGAGACACGGCCCAAACUCCUACGGGAGGCAGCAGUGGGGAAUAUUGCACAAUGGGGGAAACCCUGAUGCAGCGACGCCGCGUGAGUGAAGAAGUAUUUCGGUAUGUAAAGCUCUAUCAGCAGGGAAGAGAAUGACGGUACCUGACUAAGAAGCACCGGCUAAAUACGUGCCAGCAGCCGCGGUAAUACGUAUGGUGCAAGCGUUAUCCGGAUUUACUGGGUGUAAAGGGAGCGUAGACGGAUGGGCAAGUCUGAUGUGAAAACCCGGGGCUCAACCCCGGGACUGCAUUGGAAACUGUUCAUCCAGAGUGCUGGAGAGGUAAGUGGAAUUCCUAGUGUAGCGGUGAAAUGCGUAGAUAUUAGGAGGAACACCAGUGGCGAAGGCGGCUUGCUGGGCCGUAACUGACGCUGAGGCGCGAAAGCGUGGGGAGCAAACAGGAUUAGAUACCCUGGUAGUCCACGCCGUAAACGAUGAGUACUAGGUGUUGGGGGUUUCGAUACCUUCGGUGCCGCAGUUAACACAAUAAGUACUCCGCCUGGGGAGUACGGUCGCAAGACUGAAACUCAAAGGAAUUGACGGGGGCCCGCACAAGCGGUGGAGCAUGUGGUUUAAUUCGACGCAACGCGAAGAACCUUACCAAGACUUGACAUCCUGUUGACCGUUCGGGUAAUGCCGAACCUCUCUUCGGAGCAACAGAGACAGGUGGUGCAUGGUUGUCGUCAGCUCGUGUCGUGAGAUGUUGGGUUAAGUCCCGCAACGAGCGCAACCCUUAUCCUUAGUAGCCAGCAGUAAGAUGGGCACUCUAGGGAGACUGCCAGGGAUAACCUGGAGGAAGGUGGGGACGACGUCAAAUCAUCAUGCCCCUUAUGAUUUGGGCUACACACGUGCUACAAUGGCGUAAACAAAGGGAAGCGAAGCCGCGAGGUGAAGCAAAUCCCAAAAAUAACGUCCCAGUUCGGAUUGUAGGCUGCAACUCGCCUGCAUGAAGCUGGAAUCGCUAGUAAUCGCGGAUCAGAAUGCCGCGGUGAAUGCGUUCCCGGGCCUUGCACUCACCGCCCGUCA